UAAUAUUUUCACGACUCUAAAAUUAUGUUUUUUCACGCCUCAAACAUGACACUAUGUCUUUCAUGACAGAUAAUGAGUGAAGACUUUGGGGAGACGGGCGAGUGUAACUACCACAUAGCCACCGAGCCCAUCAGGGCUGCCCCCCUGGCCUUCGCCUUCCCUAAGGGCAGCACCCUCGUUCCUCACUUUAACAAAUGGCUUUUUCAUCGUCAAACAGGAUGGCCCCUUUAAAAGAGUCUGGACUGGUGAGUCGCAGCGUGAUGGAGGUGACCGCCAACGCCACGGCCUGCCUGGUGCCUCCGGGGAAGGAGGAGGGCUAUAAACCAUCACUCAUCCUCACUCUCACUGACUUCGCUGGAAUAUUCCUACUCUUCGCUGCCUGUUUGGUCUUCAGUUUCCUGGUCUUCAUAACGGAGAAGAUACACAGUUGCUGUUCUUACAGAGCAUAGACUGUCUGUAUGGGUAUAUAAUUAUAUACUUAUUGUCCUCUUGGAACAUAACCUGACCUCACAAAGCAUAAAUUGUCCUCACAGAGCAUAAGCCGUCCACCAGAUAUUAAAUGUCCUCACAUAUUAUAAACUAUCCUCAUGAAAUAAACUAGUCUCAUUGGACAUAAACUGCCCUAAAUUAUAAUGAACUGUUUUUGUGCAAUAUAAACUGUGCUCAUGAUGUAUACUCUUCUCACUAACAUAUACUGUCCUUACGGUAUAUAACUGUCCCCACUAAGCAUUAACUGUUCUCACGCUAUUAUAAUAAACUCUCCUCACCAAGUGUAAGCUGUCCUUAAGGUAUAUAAACUGUCCUCACUAAGCAUAAAGUAUCAUUAUAAACUCUUCUCACUAAGCAUAAACUGUCCUCACUACACAUACACUGUCUCCACUAAGCAUAAACUGUCCUAACGGUAUAUAAACUGUCUUCACUAAGUAUAAACUGUCCCCACUCUGAGGUGCUUAUAAAUCGCUAUUAAGUCACCCCUUGCCCGUCUACAGUAUAAGCUAGACAACUGAAGACGUUCGUAUUUCUCUUUGUGAGUGAAAUGCUGUGUAGGCAUCAGUUUGGUGGCCAUCUUUUGCACAUUCUCAGUCAGAAAAAUGAUUAUUCAGUAAAAUCAGCAUGUAAAUUCAAAAUGGUUCAGUAUGUAUGUAGACAGAAGAUGUAUACAAAUAAUAAAUAGUAAACAAUAAGUCGAUUCAAACAAGGAAAUCCCAAAACACAACAAAACUAAUGAAGUUCUCAACAACGACCAAAUUUUCAUAGCAUUAAGACUACUCUUAUUCACUUUUUUAAAUUACUGUAUAUUUUAACUUAUAAGCUUAUUAAAAUCACCAGUAGAUUUAACCUUUCAGCUUAUUUCACUUUAAGAUUAACCACCCCAGCGCUAACCUAACCUAACCUAAUCUCACCUUACCUAGCCUAACCCUCUCCUGGUAGCAUUCAGGUGUUUAUUCAUCAGGUGGGGUAACUUUCUUGUGAUUUUUCCCCAUUGUGUUAAAUAUUACUUGUGCUGUAACGUUU